rnacentral:lncRNA from 1 species
GCAAAAGGAAAGGGUAUAUUAGAUUCUUGUAAUUCCUAACGAGGAAAACCCAAUUCGAUAGAAAAAGAUCCAAAGUUCUCUAUUGAUUGGACUCCCUGUAUCCUUUUCGGGGUAUAUUAGAUUCUGACUAUCUAUAUAUGAGAUUAUUACUAUCUAUGGACUCCCUGUAUCCUUUUUGGGGUAUCUGAGAUUCUGACUAUCUAUAUAUUCUUUUCAGAAUGACUAUGAUAUUGGAGAAAAUGACAAUACUGGAAUCCAAAUACCUUGACUAUGCCUCUUCAACGCCUAUUCAACAUGCCCAUUACUACGCUUUUCUGCUUUCCCGCAGUGCUAGCGCAUAGUAAGGCCCACAUCCCCUAGCAACAUCUGUCUGUGUGAAAGAGAUAACGCAGCAUAUGAGCCAAGCAAGGUCUUCUCUUUCUGGAUGUCCAGUACUCCGAAAUCUCGAUGGAUUCUUAUUAUGUUGAUUCAGCUGCUUUCCUGUGGAUAGAAUGCUGGCCCUUUCCUUUCUCGUAUGGCGCACGCAUCUUAUACUUCUGCC